CAGUAGCCACGGUAAUACGAAGGUCCCGAGCGUUGUUCGGAAUCACUGGGCGUAAAGGGAGCGUAGGCGGCGUGGUAAGUCAGAUGUGAAAUCCCGGGGCUCAACCCCGGAACUGCAUCCGAUACUGCCAUGCUAGAGGAUUGGAGAGGUAGCUGGAAUUCUUGGUGUAGCAGUGAAAUGCGUGGAGAUCAAGAGGAACACUCGUGGCGAAAGCGAGCUACUGGACAAUAACUGACGCUGAGGCUCGAAGGCCAGGGUAGCGAAAGGGAUUAGAUACCCGUGUAGUCCCUGUCUCUUAUAU
rnacentral:rRNA from 1 species